GUUGCACUCCGUCUCUCUGGCCACUUUGUGCGUUCCCACCUGACAGGCCACACUUCUCCGGCGCACGCCCCGGCCACAGGACACAGAACACUAAGAAGACAGACUGUGGGCUCGUCCUAUGUGCACUGUAGGAACUUUGGCAGUAUCCCUGGACUCUACCCACUAGAUGUCAGUCGCAUUUCUCUGCUCAGUCAAGUAGUGACAACCAGCACGGUCUCCAGGCAUUGCCAAGUGUCCCAAGAGGUACAAAAUCACUGCCGUUAAGAGCUUACCUCUGUGAGGAUAAGCUCUCAUGCUCCCAGUCCACUGGGAAGGAGGUGCAAAAAGCAAGCCAAAAACUGAAAGGUAAGCUGCAGAAACUUCAAGGUCCGUAUCCCAGAUGCCUGACUCGCAGUCUUUUGUUUCUAUGAGGCCAUUCAAAGGGGAUGUUUAAUGUGGAGCUUGCUCAGAUACGGCCUUUAACACUUCCCGUGAACUAAGGUCCAAGAGGUUGGAAUCCUUGCUUUUCAACUCAAGGCCCUGGCAGUCUGCUGAGUGCCUGUGCCGAGGGCCUGCUCUCUCUCGGGGGGUGGCUCGGGGAACGGUGCAAACUGGGCCUGUGUCUGCUGUCCCCGCCGCUAGUGAUGCCCUGCGACAGUCCUUGCACUGAUGUCGAGGCGAAGGGUGUCUCAGUCAGCAAGAGGCCAGCAGACAGCCCCAGUGUGUCUGCCUGGCUGGGAAGGGCUGACGACCAGGCGAGAACGGGAUCUCCAGGCUGGCUGAGGCUGCCGAGAACACAGGCAUCCAGAUGAAGAGGGCGGACUACCCAGAACGGGGUGCUGUAACCGUCCAAGGAAAAGCCGGCUCUGAGUUCCAUUGAAAAACAUUCAAAGCCAGCUGAAGUGCUAAAAUUGUUUUACUCAAAAAUGUGAAUAUUCAGCUACCUCUAACUUUUGAGCUCAGUGACUACGAAAAGCUACUUUCCUGAAACUCACCCUUCAAAGAUGGAAAGAUCUCUUGGAAUUCAAGCUUCUACAAGGUGGCUGCCUGGAGUUUCCAUUUUUGCCUUCUGCAAAGCAUCAAUCAAGCCCUGCCCUUUCAGCCACUGAACACAUAAACACUCUUUCUCCUUAACUGAACUUACUGCCAUGAUGAACUUGAACUCUGAGAUGCACAAGAGGAGACUAUGUUUUAACAGCUGCUUUUACACUGCAGCCCUGGAGUUACUGCUUCCAAGACAGCUGGUUCUGAUAAGCCUCUGUUUUCUGAUAAGCCCUGUUGUCUCUAUGCCCAGCUGUCAGGGAACACCCCUGAAGUGUUCCAAAACAAAAGCACAGAAGAGAAACGGGGCAAGGGAAUGGGACUCACUGGAUGCAAAGGCAUCCUACACAGGGGCCCCUCAUGUGCUGACAUAGGUUUUUCUCCCCAGUUUAUUUUUGUAAGUUUGUUGAUUCUUGGCUAGUUGAGUAAUAACUGCUAACGAUGUUGUGUUGCCUGAGGUUGCCCUGUCCACCAGCCACAGGUAGCUGUUUAAAUUUAUAGAGUAAUUAAAAUUAAAUAUAGUUUAAAAUGCA